GUCAGGGACAGCUGUGAGCCAGCCAGGGGGCAAGCGUAGACGGGGUUUUACCAUGUUGGCUAGGCGGGUCUUGAACUCCUGACCUCAAGCGAUUCCCCUGCCUCGACCUCCCAAAGUGCUAGGAUUAUAGGCACGAGCCACCGCCCCCAGCCCAAGAUAUGUUUUAGUAAGCCGCCAGUUGGAUCAUCUGUAAGCAACUCACUAGAAGCUUCCAGCAUCCUCCACAAAUUUGACAACUGAGAAAUGUGGCUGGGAAAUCAUGAUUUGGGUCCGAAGAAGUGAAAGCAACAAUCCUCAGGUUGUUGUUUCUUGAGAGAAGAAGGUAAACAGCAGGAAUUCGGCUGAGGUGUCCAAAUCUCGGGGAGGAUGAAUUCUCAGGAGAGCUGAACCUGAGACAAAGCCCUUUGUCCUGGGCUGGAAGGACCCUGGAAAGGUUAUCUGGUCCCUGACUCAGGGAAGGGAGGCAUUCUCCCUGCAGGAAUGUUCUCGAUCACAGUCCACCACCACCCCCCUACCCCCGCCCACUUUUGGAGUCCAUCUUCGCAGCCCUUGAUGAUUCAUUUUAUGUCAGCUUGACGGGCUAAGGGAUGCUCAGAUAGCUGGGAAAACGUGAUUUCUGGGUGGCUCUGGGAAGAGACUGGCAUCUGAACCGGGGGACUGAGUAAGAAGAUCCCUCCUCGCCAGGUGGGGCACCAUCACUCAAUCUGUUGAAAGCCCGGACAGAACAAAGAGACAGAGGCAGAGGCAGGCAAACCCUCCCUCUGCAAGAGCUGGGACAUCCAGGCUGGGCGCGGUGGCUCACGCCUGUAAUCCCAGCACUUUGGGAGGCCGAGGCAGGUGGAUCACCUGAGCUCAAGAGUUUGAGACCAGGCCAACAUGGUGAAACCCCAUCUCUACUAAAAAUACAAAAAUGACCCGGGCGUGGUGGCGCACACCUACAGUCCC
ensembl:lncRNA novel transcript, antisense to TIMP2